AUGAAGCGCGGCCGUGAAGAUGCGGCGGACGAGCCGGAGGCAACCAUCGGUGGAGAGCAGUCUGUUGUCGUGGCUGUCGCCGCGGUUGCAGCGGCUGAGCCCGCCGUAGCGGCGACGGCUGGCGGUGCAGCAACUGCUGUGCCUCUUCCCGCUGCCACCCCAGCCGUCGAGCUACCAGUCGAAGAGCGUGUGCACGAGAAGGUGGGGAAGAUCUGGAUGAGGAGACGGCGAGGCUCCAUGAGAGAAUCGAGGAGGAGUUCUACGGGGGGAGGGGGGGGCGUGGACGAGAUAGAGUUCGAGAUGGCUGUGGAUCCCAGGAAGGGCAGCGACUUCGACGAGGAUCUCAUCGACGAUCUCUCGGAGGAGGAUGACGAUGAUGUGGGGUAUGACAUGGACAGCAGGCACAGCAAGAGCCGCUACAUCAUGAGGCAGCUGAUUGCUGGAAAAUUCAAGUACCGUUUCUAUGGAAAGCUUGGCUGCCCCUUCUGUGGCAAGGCGAUCAAGGGCGACAUAGAUGGCUUGAUGCAACAUGCCGUCUCCAUUGGCAACUCCUACAAUAGGAAGCAAAAGGCCAGUACUCUGGCAAAACAUGCGGCCUACGGGCGCUUCCUCAAGAUUGUCAAAGUCAAUGAGCCCUACUACAUCCCGCCGCGCCGCCGCUGA
rnacentral:rRNA from 1 species